AAGCGCGCUGGUCCCGGUCGCGUCAGUCAGGGGCCGGGGCACCGCCUGCCUCCCCACGCUCUUCGGGUUGUCGUGGAAACUGGCGGUGGGGCGGGGCCCCGUCGCGUCUCUCUGUUGCCGUGACAGCGCCACGCUCCGCCCGGCGUUUCCCACGCCGCCUCCGAGACCCCGACGCUCCUUUUCUCCACCUUCCCAGGCUGCGCGAUGGCCGGGUGGAGGGUGCCCCUGCAGGCUGAGGACCUCCAGAGAAAGGGCGGCUUGGAGGGCAGCCCGGCAGAGGGCGCGGGCAGGGGUCUCGGCCGCAGGCAGCGCGUGACAGCGGGAGGCUGGGCCCCCAGGCUGAGCACCCUGUUCUCCUUCAUUCCCUUGACUCAUGGCCCGACGCGUGAUGCGCGCCUUGGGUCCUAGCGCUUUGGGAAGCUGAGGCGGGAGGAUCGCUUGAGCCCCGGAGGUGGAGACUGCGGUGAGCCGAGAUCGCCACUGCACUCCAGCCUGGGCGAUAUCGAGCGAGACCUCGUCUCAAAAAGCACCGCUCCUGGCACAGUACCACAGAGCAAUGCACACAGCCCUCUGAGCCUGCAUGGCACCCGCCAGGGCUGAGAGUGCACCUGAUGCAGCAGCAGAGCCCUGGUCGGCAGGAAUGCUACCCAGUAAGUGGACUACAGCAGCCCUUGCCAGGGAGGAGGUGUGAGGAAUGCCAAGCCCUGCAGACAGAGGCUUCUCACCCCCAUGCCCUGGGGCCCUACA
rnacentral:lncRNA from 10 species